AAAAAUCUUCUAACACAAUUCAACCAAAUCCAUUCACGGCCCAAUAAAUUAUUGAAUCUUGUGGUAUGCUCCAAAUUUCUUUACCUAAAACUCUAAAUAUUUAAAAACCAGAUUCUAUUUUGCAAUUAUUUGAAAAUUUGGAUUCUAAAAUAUAAAGAAAAAACUGAAUAAAGAAGUAGGACCCGAUGCACUAGCACACUCAGCACCUCCCAAGAGUCGGGCCUGAUUCACAUACACAAUUUGGUAUACUCAGAAACGAGCUUCUCUACGAAUU
rnacentral:sRNA from 1 species